rnacentral:tRNA from 1 species
UAGAAAGUGGUGUAGUGGGAGCACUGGGAGUUUUGAUCUCCCCGGGGGAGGUUCGAGCCCUCCCUUUCUAA